GAUGAACGCUGGCGGCGUGCCUAAUUCAUGCAAGUCGAGCGAACAGACGAGGAGCUUGCUCCUUUGACGUUAGCGGCGGACGGGUGAGUAACACGUGGAUAACCUACCUAUAAGACUGGGAUAACUUCGGGAAACCGGAGCUAAUACCGGAUAACAUGUUGAACCGCAUGGUUCAACAGUGAAAGACGGUUUUGCUGUCACUUAUAGAUGGAUCCGCGCCGCAUUAGCUAGUUGGUAAGGUAACGGCUUACCAAGGCAACGAUGCGUAGCCGACCUGAGAGGGUGAUCGGCCACACUGGAACUGAGACACGGUCCAGACUCCUACGGGAGGCAGCAGUAGGGAAUCUUCCGCAAUGGGCGAAAGCCUGACGGAGCAACGCCGCGUGAGUGAAGAAGGUCUUCGGAUCGUAAAACUCUGUUAUUAGGGAAGAACAAAUGUGUAAGUAACUAUGCACGUCUUGACGGUACCUAAUCAGAAAGCCACGGCUAACUACGUG
rnacentral:rRNA from 1 species